rnacentral:rRNA from 1 species
UCGCCGAAAGAUCGGCCCGCGUCUGAUUAGCUAGUUGGUAGGGUAACGGCCUACCAAGGCGACGAUCAGUAGCUGGUCUGAGAGGAUGAUCAGCCACAUUGGGACUGAGACACGGCCCAAACUCCUACGGGAGGCAGCAGUGGGGAAUAUUGGACAAUGGGGGCAACCCUGAUCCAGCCAUGCCGCGUGAGUGAUGAAGGCCCUAGGGUUGUAAAGCUCUUUUGUGCGGGAAGAUAAUGA